ensembl:snRNA U6 U6 spliceosomal RNA
GUGCUCACUUCAGCAGCAUAUACACUACAACUGAAAUGAUAUAAAGAUUAACAUACUCCCUGUGUAAGGAUGACACGCAAAUUCAUGAAACAUUCCAUAUGAAA